ACUGAGAGGAGGAGCAGACAGCAAAAGCUCAGUGUCCUCAGCAGUCACAGAGCUGCCUCUUCAGCACUGACAGAAGCACAUCAAUAGAGGGAGAUGAGGGGAUGAUUUCCUGCAGCCUUUCCAGUCUGUUUUCAGAACAAGUAUUUUCAUGGGUGGAGGAGAUCCUUUCAGAUGAAUUUGUGGAAAACUGGAAAGAUUUUCAGAAGGUUUGGCAGUCCUGUGAUCCUGAGUGUACUGGCACAAUAAAUAGAAGUUCUACAGCUGUAUUGUCCCUCUUUGCCAGAUCAACAAUUUGGGAGGCAAGUUGAUGGUGUUUUUCCCCUGAAGGAAUGCAUAGGAAGGAGGCACUUGAUAUGUUCAGUUACAAGUGGGAUCUUUU
rnacentral:lncRNA from 1 species